rnacentral:hammerhead_ribozyme from 1 species
AUCCAGCUAACCAGUCCCAAAUAGGACGGAGUGCGCGUCCUGGAU